UACGAAGGGGGCGAGCGUUGUUCGGAUUUACUGGGCGUAAAGGGCGCGUAGGCGGCCCGGUAAGUCCGCUGUGAAAGUCCAGGGCUCAACCCUGGGAUGCCGGUGGAUACUGUCGGGCUCGAGUCCGGAAGAGGCGAGUGGAAUUCCUGGUGUAGCGGUGAAAUGCGCAGAUAUCAGGAGGAACACCAAUGGCGAAGGCAGCUCGCUGGGACGUGACUGACGCUGAGACGCGAAAGCGUGGGGAGCAAACAGG
rnacentral:rRNA from 1 species